rnacentral:rRNA from 1 species
AUUGAACGCUGGCGGCAGGCCUAACACAUGCAAGUCGAACGAGUGGCGGACGGGUGAGUAAUGUCUGGGAAACUGCCCGAUGGAGGGGGAUAACUACUGGAAACGGUAGCUAAUACCGCAUACCAUCGGAUGUGCCCAGAUGGGAUUAGCUUGUAGGUGAGGUAACGGCUCACCUAGGCGACGAUCCCUAGCUGGUCUGAGAGGAUGAACAGCCACACUGGAAUUGAGCUACGGGCCAUACUCCUACGGGAGGCAGCAGUGGGGAAUAUUGAACAAUGGGCGAAAGCCUGAUGCAGCCAGGCCGCGGGUAUGAAGAAGGCCUUCGGGUUGUAAAUGACGUUCAGCGGGGAGGCGUUACCCGCAUAAGAAGCACCGGCUAACUCCGGGCCAGCCGCCGCGGUAAUUC